UACAGAGGGUGCGAGCGUUGUUCGGAAUUAUUGGGCGUAAAGAGCUCGUAGGCGGUUUGUCGCGUCUGCUGUGAAAACCCGAGGCUCAACCUCGGGCCUGCAGUGGGUACGGGCAGACUAGGGUGCGGUAGGGGAGAUUGGAAUUCCUGGUGUAGCGGUGGAAUGCGCAGAUAUCGGGAGGAACACCGGUGGCGAAGGCGGUUCUCUGGGCCUGUACUGACGCUGAGGAGCGAAAGCGUGGGGAGCGAACAGG
rnacentral:rRNA from 1 species